rnacentral:ncRNA from 14 species
GACCGGGUGUGCGGCUAAUACAAUACCAGCAAUGGAAAUACGCCCGCCGACUUUCGACGGUUUUGAGCGCCCGGUCACCCUCUC